rnacentral:rRNA from 1 species
GAUGAACGCUGGCGGCGUGCCUAAUACAUGCAAGUCGAGCGAACGGACGAGAAGCUUGCUUCUCUGAUGUUAGCGGCGGACGGGUGAGUAACACGUGGAUAACCUACCUAUAAGACUGGGAUAACUUCGGGAAACCGGAGCUAAUACCGGAUAAUAUUUUGAACCGCAUGGUUCAAAAGUGAAAGACGGUCUUGCUGUCACUUAUAGAUGGAUCCGCGCUGCAUUAGCUAGUUGGUAAGGUAACGGCUUACCAAGGCAACGAUGCAUAGCCGACCUGAGAGGGUGAUCGGCCACCCUGGAACUGAGACACGGUCCAGACUCCUACGGGAGGCAGCAUUAGGGAAUCUUCCGAAAUGGGCGAAAGCCUGACGGAGCAACGCCGCGUGAUUGAUGAAGGUCUUCGGAUCGUAAAACUCUGUUAUUAGGGAAGAACAUAUGUGUAAGUAACUGUGCACAUCUUGACGGUACCUAAUCAGAAAGCCACGGCUAACUACGUG